CCUACGGGAGACAGCAGUGAGGAAUAUUGGUCAAUGGGCGGGAGCCUGAACCAGCCAAGUCGCGUGAGGGAAGACGGUACAGCGUAUCGUAAACCUCUUUUGUCAGGGAACAAAGGCGGGGACUUGUCCCCGGUUGAGGGUACCUUAAGAAAAAGCAUCGGCUAACUCCGUGCCAGCAGCCGCGGUAAUACGGAGGAUGCGAGCGUUAUCCGGAUUUAUUGGGUUUAAAGGGUGCGCAGGCGGCCUGUUAAGUCAGCGGUAAAAGCCCGGGGCUAAACCCCGGCGAGCCGUUGAAACUGGCGGGCUUGAGUGUGAGAGAGGUACGCGGAAUGCGCGGUGUAGCGGUGAAAUGCUUAGAUAUCACGCAGAACCCCGAUUGCGAAGGCAGCGUACCGGCUCCACACUGACGCUGAGGCACGAAAGCGUGGGUAUCGAACAGGAGUAGAUACCCGGGUAGUC
rnacentral:rRNA from 1 species